CCUACGGGUGGCAGCAGUGAGGAAUAUUGGUCAAUGGACGCAAGUCUGAACCAGCCAAGCCGCGUGCAGGAUGACGGCUCUAAGCGUUGUAAACUGCUUUUGUCCGGGGGUAAACCCCGAUACGUGUACCUGGUUGAAAGUAUUGUACGAAUAAGGAUCGGCUAACUCCGUGCCAGCAGCCGCGGUAAUACGGAGGAUCCGAGCGUUAUCCGGAUUUAUUGGGUUUAAAGGGUGCGUAGGCGGUGUGUUAAGUUAGAGGUGAAAUGCCGGGGCUCAACCCCGAAAGUGCCUCUAAUACUGGUGGUCUAGAGAAGAGUUGAGGUAGGCGGAAUGUGUGGUGUAGCGGUGAAAUGCUUAGAGAUCAUACAGAACACCGAUUGCGAAGGCAGCUUACCAAA
rnacentral:rRNA from 1 species